CAACGGAUGGGCAAGCUUAUUUUUAAAUUGGAGCCUUAAGGCACCUUUUAUAGGAGCCUCAGGGCUCCCAUGCCACUUUUUCCACCGAUGUGGGAAAAACUGGAAACUGGAUAAA